GGGUUUGGUUAGAAGGUUUACCUGCCCACUGAUUGGAACAAAAUUAAAUGGCCGCGGUAUAUUGACCGUGCAAAGGUAGCAUAAUCGUUAGUUUUUUAAUUGGAAUCUUGUAUGAAUGGUUGGACAAAAGAAAAUCUGUCUUUAUAUUAUUAAUUGAAUUUAACUUUUAAGUGAAAAGGCUUAAAUGGAUUAAAGUGACGAUAAGACCCUAUAAAGCUUUAUAUAGAUAUAUUAUUUAAUUAAAUUUUUAAUAAAAAUUUAGUAGUAAAAUUUAUUUUAUUGGGGCGAUAAGAGUAAAAUUUUUAUUAACUGCUUUAAGUUUUGAAUACAUUUAUGUUUGAUUAAAAUUUUAAAUGAUCCUAAAUAAAGAUUAAAAGUUUAAGUUACUUUAGGGAUAACAGCGUUAUUUUUUUUGAGAGUACUUAUCGAAAAAAAAGUUUGCGACCUCGAUGUUGAAUUAAAAUUUCUUUAUAAUUGCAGAAGUUAUAAAAGUAGGUCUGUUCGACCUUUAAAAUUUUACAUGAUCUGUUCCAAAACCGGGA
rnacentral:rRNA from 1 species